AGAGAGGGGCACAAGAAUGGAGACGGGAGCGAGGGAGCCCCCUAGAGACCAAGGAAAGGGAGAGGCCAGGACAGCUGAUGGUGACCGGGGUUGAGAGCGGGAGCGCCUCCAGAGGUCUGUUUUAUGAGGCUUUGGAAUCCAGACAACUUUAAGUGUUCUGAACGAGAGGCUAGGUGACUGACCUGGAUUAUCUACAGUGAGCAGACUUAAAUGGAACAAAGAUGUGUUCAGAUGAUAAUGAUAUAAACCAUGGAAUCAUUAAACCUAAGUGACUUGA